rnacentral:rRNA from 1 species
UGCCUAUAGCUUAAGUAUUAUAGGUACCUCCUGCCCAGUGAUCACGAUUCAACGGCCGCGGUACACUGACCGUGCUAAGGUAGCGCAAUUACUUGCCCUUUAAUUGAGGGCCCGUACGAAUGGACCCACGAAAGCACCCCUGUCUCAUAAUCAUUAAUAAGAAAACUAAUCUCCAGGUGAAAAAGCCUGAAUAAAAUAAAAAGACAAGAAGACCCUGUAGAGCUUCAUUCCAAAAUUAAACAAAAAUCAAUCACUCCUGAACCUCUUUGUUUAAAAAAGAAUUUUGCUGGGGCAGCAAGAAACCAACUAAAACGUCUCUAUAUACACACGACUAUCUGUCCUUUACAAGACCCUUUAAAAUGUACUACAAUACACCCCAAAAGAUCUUAAGAAAAAGCUACCUCAGGGAUAACAGACUAAUCCUUCUUAAGAGUCCACAUUAACAGAAGGGAUUGGCACCUCGAUGUUGGCUCAGGAUCCCCCCAACGUGCAGCAGCGUUGCUGGUAAGUAUGUUCUCCUUUUAAAAUCCU